rnacentral:rRNA from 1 species
CACGGGGGGAGCAAGCGUUGUUCGGAAUUACUGGGCGUAAAGGGCGUCUAGGCGGAUAGGUAAGUGGGAUGUGAAAUCCCUCGGCUCACCCGAGGACCUGCACCCCAAACUGCCUGUCUUGAGUAUGGGAGAGGAUGAGGGAAUUCCUGGUGUAGCGGUGAAAUGCGUAGAUAUCUGGAGGAACACCGGUGGCGAAGGCGGCAUUCUGGACCGAUAUUGACGCUGAGGAGCGAAAGCCAGGGGAGCAAACGGG